rnacentral:lncRNA from 1 species
GUUAUUCUCAGAGUCGAAGUAUGUCGUGGGUACGAGCACCUCUAAACCACGUCCCUGACACGGGCUACGGCCUGGUAAGAGGAGCCCUUAGAGGGGGUAAACUGCUAAAGUUCCACAGACUUCCAUAUGGUCAUGGAAAUGGCACCAGCUGAAAAACUCGCCGUAAAGCAGUGCAAAGAUUCUGAGAGGAAUGGAGAUUCGGGUUAUCUUCCACGCGGGCGUAGAUCACGUCGCAGAAAAGUCUGUGCGAAUAACAUCAGCAAGGGUUGGCCCAAUACAUGCAAACAGUGCAGAUCACACAAGGCUGUAAAAACAAAACUGAAAUGAAUUCUUAUGGAAUUUCAAGGCACUGACGAUUGUUUCUUCCCUCCCCAAGGGAGGGAGUGAGGUAAGUGCAAUGAUGUCUUCCAAUUUCUGAUUGAAAAAUAAGCAGCUUCCACAUCCAGCUUUUAAGAUUUAUUUAACACUCCAAU